UAGCUAUUUCAUCUGUGUUAAGCAGCACUCUGUUACCCGAGGCUAUACGCUACGUUCUAUAUGAUCAAAGCAGAAAUGCAAGCAGCUUCUGACGAAGAGUUAUCGUGGCUGAGGGGAAAAAAUAUCAAGGAAGGAGAAAAAAAGAUACAGCACUACAAAAUACCAGGUCAUGCCACCAAAGUAAACACCCACAGAUCUCAAAGUACUUUACAAAGGCAACAGAAACACCACUGACACCACUUUACAGCAAGGAAAAUGAGAGCAGAAAGGGGAAAGUUAUUCAGAUGAGAAUCCCUCAAGAGACCAACUGCAGAGUAUUUUUUUCCACAGAAAAGAUAAACUGCAGAGGACAAGAAAAAAAGCGUUCUAGCAAACAAGCACCUCAUCUUACCAAAAUAACUGGAGAAAAAAAAAGUAAAGAAUCAUUUCCAGACUUUGCAAGAGCUCAGCUAUGCACAGCACCUUCUGCAUCUGAGUAAGAUUUAAAACUUGAACACAGAUAGAGACACAUUGCAAUCCACCUUCAGAAACAGAACAGCUGCAGCUGAAGGGGAAACUCAAGGAGUAAUGAUGGUUUAAGUGCUCUAUUGCUUCUGUCAGUGUGUUUACAACAUACCACGGGGAAGAUGCACAAAAGGACUCCUUAGACAAAUUCCAAGUAUAUUGACAAAGGAAGAAACAGAUCUUAUUAAAAAGUCAACAUUUGUUAAAUAAAAUAAAACAUGGUGCUGAGACUACAGCUCAGUUUGAAGCAAAGCCAGGCAGUUUUAGCAGUAACUGGGAAGUACUGGGAGAGAGAAAACUUGUGCUUCUGACAGACACCUGGUGAUUACAAAUUAGAACUGGGUAUUUACUGAUAAGAUUACCUAGCCCUGGAUUAUUUAUAAAUUUCUUGCAGAAUGUAGUUCUGGUUGCUGGGAUAUAGAAUACUCAACUAUUGCAUCCUCAUUUGGAAGGCAGAGGUAAUAGGAAAAAUAAUCACAUCUGUUGUGCAGGUAAGCAUGAACAUCUGUAAGUACAUGCAUAUGAAUACAUUUGACAAAUACUGAACGUGGAUGGAAGCUUUGGGAUGCGGAGGACAGAAGCAGAGACCUGGCAGCUGUGUAAGUAAAACUUCUGUACUGCAGAUAUAACAGAGAUGUAACAAGAAAUAACGUACAGCAAUCUCGCUGUGCUGUCUGGACCCUGGUUCCAGUUUCUCUGCAUGAGGAGAAGUUUCCAAGUGUUCAACUGCCAUUUAAAAUCAAACAAGGCAUCUUGGUUUUCCAGAGAGUAGGAAAAACCCUGGCUAUCACCAAUCUAUAUCCUGGAAUCCAUCAGCAUAGCUAACAACAGUAUUUCAUCUGCAGGAGCAGAGCUCCAUCAAUUUGCGCUAGGCAGCAAGCUUCUGUUUCCAAACAGACCAUGAGAGAGUUAUGACCCACAAAUCAGUCCAGAAUAUCCUUGGCUCUGUUUCAGGAUGCAAAUGCUGCUUUUUCUCUUCAAAAUAUUAAAAUUGAAUGAUCUAGUGAGGAGAGCUUUUCUACCUAUUUUGGUUAUGGGCCUUUUGAGCAAUUGUUUUGACUACCAAGUAGCUUUUAGUGGUAAUCAGUGACCACAAGAUCAAUUUACACUCUUAGAAAAUAAAUACAAAAUUCUUGUUUACAAUAAAAAGCAAAUGUGCAAGGAGAGAGGAAAAGACGAGAGAACAGGAUUAAUAAAUUACAAUUGUUAGCAAGCACUAACGUGUAUCAAAAUGGCAAAUCCUCUGGAGUAUGGCUGAGCUUCUCUUAUUCAGGUCAAUGACUCCUUUUGCGAUUCCCUUCUCUAAAAAGAGCAUUUUUCAAUGAUUUAUGUAUAAUAAUAUCCACAUCAGCAUAUCUUAUUUUUCAGUAUUUGUUUGUUAAACAUGCAAGAAGAAUCUCAUACUGAAGCCCUUAGCCUUGAAA